rnacentral:lncRNA from 1 species
UACAGUCUUCGGAUGCAGGAGGGAUCUGAUGUGAUUGGCCACAUUCAGAGGUUCAACCAGUUAUGCAUGGAGUUGAUGAAUAUCAGGGUGAAGCUGGAUGAGGAGGACAAGUCCCUGUUGCUUUUGUAUUCGCUGCCAGGAUCAUAUGACUCUUUGGUGACUACACUGCUCUAUGGUAAGGAGACUCUGGAAUAUGAGGA